rnacentral:rRNA from 1 species
CACGAACGCUGGCGGCAGGCUUAACACAUGCAAGUCGAGCGCCCCGCAAGGGGAGCGGCAGACGGGUGAGUAACGCGUGGGAAUCUACCCAUCUCUACGGAAUAACGCAUGGAAACGUGUGCUAAUACCGUAUACGUCCUUCGGGAGAAAGAUUUAUCGGAGAUGGAUGAGCCCGCGUUGGAUUAGCUAGUUGGUGGGGUAAAGGCCUACCAAGGCGACGAUCCAUAGCUGGUCUGAGAGGAUGAUCAGCCAAACUGGGACUGAGACACGGCCCAGACUCCGACGGGAGGCAGCAGUGGGGAAUAUUGGACAAUGGGCGCAAGCCUGAUCCAGCCAUGCCGCGUGAGUGAUGAAGGCCCUAGGGUUGUAAAGCUCUUUCACCGGUGAAGAUAAUGACGGUAACCGGAGAAGAAGCCCCGGCUAACUUCGUGCCAGCCGCCGCUGUAAUAC